CCAGACUCCUACGGGAGGCAGCAGUGGGGGAUAUUGCACAAUGGGGGCAACCCUGAUGCAGCGACGCCGCGUGAGCGAUGGAGUACUUCGGUAUGUAAAGCUCUCUCAGCAGGGAAGAGAAUGACGGUACCUGACCAAGAAGCCCCGGCUAAAUACGUGCCAGCAGCCGCGGUAAUACGUAGGGGGCAAGCGUUAUCCGGAGUUACUGGGUGUAAAGGGAGCGUAGACGGCGAUGCAAGUCUGAAGUGAAAGGCGGGGGCGCAACCCCCGGGCUGCUUUGGAAACUGUGCGGCUGGAGUGCAGGAGAGGUAAGUGGAAUUCCUAGUGUAGCGGUGAAAUGCGUAGAUAUUAGGAGGAGCACCAGUGGCGAAGGCGGCUUACUGGGGUGUAACUGACGUUGAGGCUCGAAAGCGUGGGGAGCAAACAGGAUUAGAUACCCUCGUGCAC
rnacentral:rRNA from 1 species